rnacentral:rRNA from 1 species
GACAGAGGCCCCGAGCGUUAAUCGGAAUCACUGGGCUUAAAGGGUGCGUAGGCCGGCCUGCAAGUGCUUUGUGAAAUCCCAUGGCUCAACCAUGGAACAGCGGGGCAUACUGCGGGUCUUGAGGAUGGUAGGGGUUGCCGGAACUGUAGGUGGAGCGGUGAAAUGCGUAGAUAUCUACAGGAACGCCGAUGGUGAAGACGGGCAACUGGGCCUUUCCUGACGCUGAGGCACGAAAGCGUGGGGAGCAAACAGG